CGGAGGGGGCUAGCGUUAUUCGGAAUUAUUGGGCGUAAAGGGCGCGUAGGCGGCCCGGUAAGUCAAAGGUGAAAUCCCUCGGCUCAACUGAGGAACUGCCUUUGAAACUGUCGGGCUUGAGGCCGGGAGGGGGUAGCGGAAUUCCCAGUGUAGCGGUGAAAUGCGUAGAUAUUGGGAGGAACACCGGUGGCGAAGGCGGCUACCUGGACCGGUUCUGACGCUGAUGCGCGAAAGCGUGGGUAGCAAACAGGAUUAGAUACCCUGGUAGUCCACGCUGUAAACGAUGGGUGCUCGGUGUCGCGGGUAUCGACCCCUGCGGUGCCUUAGCUAACGCGUUAAGCACCCCGCCUGGGGAGUACGGUCGCAAGGCUG
rnacentral:rRNA from 1 species